CCCUUAGAUGUUCUGGGCUGCACGCGCGCUACACUGAAGCGUUCAACGAGUAUUCACCUUGCCCGGGAGGGUUGGGUAAUCUUUUGAAAACGCUUCGUGAUGGGGAUAGAUUAUUGCAAUUAUUAAUCUUCAACGAGGAAUUCCUAGUAAGCGCGAGUCAUCAGCUCGUGCUGAUUACGUCCCUGCCCUUUGUACACACCGCCCGUCGCUCCUGCCGAUUGAAUGGUCCGGUGAAAUCUCGGGACGGCGGCUUGGUCGCUUGCGUCCGACUGCUGAAACUUGAUUAAACCAUAUCAUUUAGAGGAAGGUGAAGUCGUAACA
rnacentral:rRNA from 1 species